AUUGAGCGCUGGCGGCAGGCUUAACACAUGCAAGUCGAGCGGAGAUGAGGUGCUUGCACCUUAUCUUAGCGGCGGACGGGUGAGUAAUGCUUAGGAAUCUGCCUAUUAGUGGGGGACAACAUUCCGAAAGGAAUGCUAAUACCGCAUACGUCCUACGGGAGAAAGCAGGGGAUCUUCGGACCUUGCGCUAAUAGAUGAGCCUAAGUCGGAUUAGCUAGUUGGUGGGGUAAAGGCCUACCAAGGCGACGAUCUGUAGCGGGUCUGAGAGGAUGAUCCGCCACACUGGGACUGAGACACGGCCCAGACUCCUACGGGAGGCAGCAGUGAGGAAUAUUGGACAAUGGGGGGAACCCUGAUCCAGCCAUGCCGCGUGUGUGAAGAAGGCCUUAUGGUUGUAAAGCACUUUAAGCGAGGAGGAGGCUACUGAGACUAAUACUCUUGGAUAGUGGACGUUACUCGCAGAAUAAGCACCGGCUAACUCUGUGCCAGCAGCCGCCGUAAAAC
rnacentral:rRNA from 1 species